CCUACGGGUGGCAGCAGUGGGGAAUAUUGGACAAUGGGCGAAAGCCUGAUCCAGCCAUGCCGCGUGUGUGAAGAAGGCCUUCGGGUUGUAAAGCACUUUCAGUGGGGAAGAAAGCCUUGGGGCUAAUACCCUCGAGGAAGGACAUCACCCACAGAAGAAGCACCGGCUAACUCCGUGCCAGCAGCCGCGGUAAUACGGAGGGUGCGAGCGUUAAUCGGAAUUACUGGGCGGAAAGCGCGCGUAGGCGGUCUGAUAAGCCGGUUGUGAAAGCCCCGGGCUCAACCUGGGAACGGCAUCCGGAACUGUCAGGCUAGAGUGCAGGAGAGGAAGGUAGAAUUCCCGGUGUAGCGGUGAAAUGCGUAGAGAUCGGGAGGAAUACCAGUGGCGAAGGCGGCCUUCUGGACUGACACUGACGCUGAGGUGCGAAAGCGUGGGUAGCAAACAGGAUUAGAUACCCCGGUAGUC
rnacentral:rRNA from 1 species